ensembl:lncRNA
GGGUAUCAGGGGGUGACUGGUAGUAGCAGGGGGUGACUGGUAGUAGCAGGGGGUGACUGGUAGUAGCAGGGGGUAAUAGGGUAUCAGGGGGUGACUGGUAGUGGCUGGGGGUGACUGGGUAUCAGGGGGUGACUGGUAGUAGCAGGGGGUGACUGGUAGUAGCAGGGGGUGACUGGUAGUAGCAGGGGUAAUAGGGGGGUGACUGGUAGUAGCAGGGGGUAAUAGGGUAUCAGGGGGUGACUGGUAGUAGCAGGGGUAAUAGGGGUAUCAGGGGGUGACUGGUAGUAGCAGGGGGUGACUGGUAUCAGGGGGUGAGUGGUGGUAGCAGGGGGUAAUAGGGUAUCAGGGGGUGACUGGUAGCAGGGGGGGGUAAUAGGGUAUCAGGGGGUGACUGGUAGUAGCAGGGGGUAAUAGGGUAUCAGGGGUGAGUGGUAGUAGCAGGGGGUAAUAGGGUAUCAGGGGUGAGUGGUAGUAGCAGGGGGGUGGGGGGUAAUAGGGUAUCAGGGGGUAACUGGUAGUAGCAGGGGGUAAUAGGGUAUCAGGGGGUGAGUGGUAGUAGCAGGGGGGGGUAACUGGUAGUAGCAGGGGGUAAUAGGGUAUCAGGGGGUAACUGGUAGUAGCAUGGGGGUAAUAGG